UGGUGUUGUUGUGAUCUUGUGCAAAUUCACAGCUGACGCAACCAAUGCUCUCCUCGAGUCUGGAGGACAGAUUCUCAGUGCGGAUGUGGCUGGAUCUUGUGGCUGGAGAGUGUGCUAGCUGCAACCUAUGACUGCCUUUUGCUCGAAUCGUUAAACCUUUUUACCCGGUUUAUUUCCUCGCUUGUUUUACUUUUCGGGAACCGAAAGUUUGUUAGUUCCACAUUUAUUACACGUCGUUAUUUUUCUGCUGUCUCGCCAAGCUGCAGUCCGUAUGUUGAGAUGGGAGGUCUUGGCCUAAGAAUCUGCCUAUAUACUGUGACGUGAGGGAAUCUGCACACGUGAGCAACAGAGGGUGAUCUUCAGUAAGAAGCUGCACAGAACUGUGAUGGGAUCUUUCACGUCCUCCUGAACAGGCAGACAAGGGCCUUGGCUUCGUUUGUCGUCGGAAGGACAACACCUGUAACAACGCAUUCCCCCGGCACUGCACUGGAGUGUUAGCCUCCUCUUGGCUCAAAUUCCCAACCCGGAGCUUGAAAUCCACAACCUUCUAACUCUGUUGGUUGCGAGAGUGCCAGGCUGACCUACGAAGCCUCUGAAAGUGAUGCAGUGUUGAUGGGCAGAAACUGUUGAGAAAUGGCAAAACUGGAAAUGUCACAGCAAUGGGACCAGAAGUCUAGGCUGAGAGUGCGGAAAGGGUUUGUGAGAGACUAGUAAUGGAUAAUAAUAAGUUAAAGUGGGGUGGCCCGCAAACCGCUUCUGCACCCAGUAGCACUUUAUACUAUAUCCUGUGAAGCACUUUGAGACGUCUCGACGAUGUGAUCACAAUGAAGUUCUUGUAACUCGAUACAUCAGUGAUGAGUAUUCACUUGUGUACUAUGAAAUUGUAUAUUAAAAGACAACUUUUUUUCCCCC